rnacentral:pre_miRNA from 1 species
UUACUACUCCCUCCAUCCGGAAAAGCUUGUCUCUCAAAUGAAUGUAUCUAGCAUCAAGUUAGUGCUACAUACAUCCAUUUGAGGGACAAGCUUUUUCGGACGGAGGGAGUAUUAC